rnacentral:lncRNA from 1 species
UGAACAAUAUUCCUACUUCCUUACAGAUAGCCCCUGCAUUCAGCUAUUACCUGAUUUUAGGCUAGGGUUUCGAAUUAGGGGCUGAGCUUAUCGGAGCAGGCAGGUAGGGGGCGGAGCAGGCGGCGGCGGAGCAGGUGAAGCAGGCGAAUUAGGCGGCGGCGGAUCAGGCGAAGCAGACGGCGCAGCAGGCAGCGGAGCAGGCGGAGCAGGCGAAGCAGGCGGCGUGCGGAGCAGGCGAAGCAGGCGGCGCGCGGAGUAGGCGGAGCAAGCGAAGCAGGCGGCGCGCGGAGUAGCUAGGAGGAGCAAGCGAAGCAGGCGGCGGAGGGAGAGCAGACGCGCGCAGGCAGCGCAGAGGAGGCGCGCGGCGUCGCGGCAGAGACGGGUGUGAAUUAGCAGACGCGGUUAAUUUUGUGUACUGUUAGGAUUAAUUAGGG